rnacentral:lncRNA from 1 species
AUAUCUUUCUUCCUUUCCAUUGGGAAAUUUAAGAACAAAUACUCUUGCAAAAUGGAAGGCUUCAUUUGAAAUUUCCAGUGAAACUUGAGUCAUCUUAGGUAUGCAUUGCCUCUUACCUGUUUUUUUUCUUCUUCUUCUUCUUCUCUUUUUUAGUCUUUGAUUGAUCACUUUUUGUCAAUUUUUUCAUCUGAUGAGGGUUUCAAAAUUUUUUAAAGUUGUGGUAGGAACUUGAUUCGAAGUUGUUGUUGCUGCCGUUUUCUCCUUCUCUUCUCCGUCAUCCCCUAUUUACGACUUUGUAUUUCAAUUUUUUUUGUAAUUUUUGUUAUUGUUUCUUCUGUUUUGUUUUGGAUGUGGGUGUUCUUUCAAUCUGUUAAUUUUUCAUGUAGCCCUUUGUAUGUACUUGGAGAAGAAAGGAAAUGAGAGAAAUUGAACAGAUGAGAGGCUGGGAACAUCAAGCUCUCUCUACUCUCUUUCUCAAUUUCAUAUAUAUAACUUUCCUUUGUUUUGGAUAAAUUGAGCAGCAAUACCUGAAAUUGAAUUUUCGAUUUGGAUAAUGGGUGGAUUUGAUGAUCUCCACAACCAACUAUACAAGAAUAUUGGAAACAAAUGGAAAUGGGUAUUCCAAAACAGGGAAAGUUAUAUUAAUUGCUUCGAAAAAUUCAUUGAUUUUGCUUUUUUGAUUAUUUGUUUCUGCAGUGAAGGCUGAAAACUUUAUCUAAACUAUCGUGUGUGUGAGUUUCUUACCUGCAAUAUCAAUCAUCGAUUCACAUAGGAGAAGUGAACUUUUGAUGGCUGAUGGGUGUUUUGAUAAAUAGUUGGCAGUGUCGUUCAAUGAUGAAACUAAAAUAUAAGGAUACUUUAGGAGUUCUGUUGCAGAAUGAGUUUUGUUAUUCCCUAUUAAUGAAAUAGAUAGUGUCCAUGAACCCGUAGGAAUUUUCGAAAUAUAGUCUUCCAAACUACUUAUUUUUGCUCCUCCAGGAGUUAAUUGAUAGAUGUGAAAACGAAAAUUAGUGUAUCACUCAUGUUGGAUGGCAUUAUUAAUGUUACAAAUGAUUGAAAAACACUUCUCAUGUUAUGUAUUUAUAUUUAUUUUUCAAUCAAGUAAAAUUGAUCUUUUUCUAUGUUCUUUUUGUUGUUUCUGGCAGACUGCAUGAAAAUGUGCCUUCGAUUUGGAUUGUGUCAGGAAUGAUAUGAUUCCCUCUACUUACGGUAAGAUGCAAAUUAUGUUUCUCCAUUUAUAUGAGUAAAUUCUAUCAUUUCUUUGAGAUAUAAAAUUAUAAACUAUGUAUCAAUAUUAUUUUGGACAUUUCAUAUUUAUAGGAAAUGCAAUGAUGGCAGUAUGCGGUGCUAUAAAUUUCAUAUUUUAACUCUUAAUUGUUUUGUGUACUGAAUUUCAUAUUCAGAUUCAAGUGAUGAUUCAAUAUGAUGACACUGUUGUUAAAACGAAAUUUAUCUUUUUUUGGCCAAGUAGACUGGGUAUUGACAUUUAAAUUAUGUUGCCUAAUCCUAUAUUAACUUAGGCGAGAAAUAAUAGUUUUAAACUAUGGAAAGAAAUGUAAUACUAAUUAAUAAUAGUAUUUAUUUGAUGUCUUUCUUCCCCCGAUGCUAUAAAUAUGACAUAGAAAUUUUAUGAAAGAGACAUAAUGAGAAGGAGAAAAAUGACAAAGAAACGGAGAGAAUAAGGCGAUACAUCUAAUUAAGUGGGACAAUGUCACAUUGAACAAGAAAUUAGCAGCCUUAGAAAUAACUAGAUGAAGGAAAAAAAUAAUUUUCUCAUGAAGUGGUUAUGAAAAUAUAAUGUGGAAGUAAAGGUAAUUUUAAAAAGGGUGAUUACAAAAGUGUGGGUUCAAAAAGGUGAAUGGUACAUGUACAACUUUACAAGGCCAUAUGAAAAUGAAAUUUCGAAAACAUAUAAGAGGGAUGUGGAUUCUAAGGAAGAAAAAUAGCAUUGGGGCAUGACACGACAACUGAAGAAGUCACAUACUUUUGCUUUGUAACCGGUAUUUAAUGGGUAUUGUAUAAAAUUACUUCAUAUCAAACAAAGAAAUCUUCUUUUAAUACAUUGUUUUAUACGUUUCUUAUCGCGUUUCAGUUGGUUCUCUCUAUUCGAUCAUAGGUCCAAUUUAACGGUUUCUUCAAGCUUUGCUUAAUUUAUUUUGUAAGUUGAAAUAUCUUACUUUCAACUAUCUAAUACUAAUUGAUGUUAUGAUUUUAUCUGCGAAUAAAUUUUUGGAGUCCAUUUAUAUAUAAUUUAGCAACAAAUGAUGCUUCAUUUUGAUAAUUGUGUCAAUCAUAUCCCCCAGAUCCACAAAAGACAUUAUGACCAACAAACGGAUUGUCCGAUUAAUAUGAAAAUAAUAUAUUUUUAGGAUGUUAAUGAAAUGCUUUUAACUUCCUUGCUAACUAAUUAUGAAAGAUAGAGACAAGAUAUUAAGAAUGUAUACAGUGCUACUUCAAUCAAGUAAGUUUUACUUUUUGGUGAUUAUCUUUAUUUUAUAUGUAAAAUGUGGGUAUGGAUGGAAAGAUUUUAUAUAUGUUGAUAUCUUUUUAUUUGUAGAUAUACUUUUAUGUCCAACAAUUUCUUUAGGAAUUUACUCUUAUUGUUCCCAUGACAUAGAAGAUGAAGAGUUACCAAAUCCUUGGUAAUUUGCCUUUACUUUGUAUUAAUAUAUACUAUGUGUACUAUUUGACUCCUUUGUGAUUCAAAAACAUUUGAUAUACUUGCCAAUUAGAAUUUUUGGAUCCUUACUCGCUUUAACAACUGUGUUGCUGAGUAAUCGAGAAAAACAAUUAAGUUCUAGAAACAGAACGACAAGCUGGUCAAACCAUGGAAAUUGAUUGAUUUUAGAUUCUCUAAUUUUUUCAAGCCUUCAGGUACAAUUUUACACCCUUUUCAAACUUUUAAGAAUUGUAGGGAACCAUAGUGUUCUAUUUUGGAUGAUGUUGUAUUAGUAUUUAGUAGUUAUUCUUAAGUUAUACUUUUAGUAUGAUCUGAAUUUCUUCUGUUAUUCUUGUAUUGUUUGAAUUGCAACUUCUGAUACCAAAACACUAUAGUAUAUCAUAUUCAUAAGAACAAUGUUGGGAUCGAGAGGAUGAUCAUACUGUAGGAGACUAAUGAUGUUUGGAAAUGAUUUAGGUAAUAUUCAUUUCCUUAAUGAGGUAUUUAUCUGUAUUAUCUACCUUUCACAUUUUAUGUGAUUGUGCAUGUAGGAUAGGUUUUGCUUUAAAAGAUUGUUGUUCAACUUUUCCUUUAUUGAAUUGAAAAUCUUAAGUUACAAGUAGUAAACUGAAAUAAAAGGAUAAAAACAUAGUUAUAAUAUGUUUUUAUCCAAGUUAGGCACUCAAAUAAUUAAUGCUAGAGGUAAGACUAAUGUCAAAGCAAGUUUAUAUCAUUCCUUUGUAUCAUUAUCUUUAAUUUGCUUGAACUUAUAAGGUUCUUAUCGUUUUGUUAAAUAUAGAAGCUACAAUGUCUAAGUGAGAUAAUUUAAAUAGCAACUUUAUUGAGCUUUCUAAAAGAAAGAUGGCUUUUUGGUAGCCAAAAUAAAUCUAUCAAUAAAUCACCUUCUUAUGAAUUUUAUCUUAAUAGAGAUUGUGGCUCAUUUCUAUCCCAAUUUUGCCAAGAGAGGGCUUGACAAAAUAUGUACUCUAAAAGGUGUUUGUAGUUUACAUAAAAACAUGACUUGUUCAAGCGGAUAAAGAUGAAAUUGACUCUUAAAAGGAUUACUUAUUUUUUCCUGUCUAAAUCUUCUUUUUGGGCAAAUAUUGAAAUUGAUAGACUUUAACAGAAACUUGUGUUGACUAUUUCUGUUGUAUUCACUUUUCAAUAAUUUUCAGGAACAACAUAUAGUGAGUUAAUGUUCUCCAUAGUAUACUGAAUUAUUCAGAAGUUGUGACACCAAUAGAAUAUGAAUGAUAAACUGUAAAUGCAGAAUGUACCUAACAACUUUGAGCAUUCUGCCUUUUUUUCUUACUUUUUGAUUAUUUUGUUCGGGUACAAUUUGUUUUGAGUUGUGCCAACAUUUAAUUAGACCUACUAUGUGAUAAUUUGGGGAGGUUGUGUAUAGUUUGCAUGUCAAACAUCACAUAAUUUGAAUAAUAUUGCUCCCUUGCAAUUUGUGGGUUCUAUAUUUGAAUAAUAUAUAUAUAUAUAUAUAUAUAUAUAUAUAUAUAUAUUAUGGAGUAAAAUAUUUAAUUAAAUAAGUCUUAGAUGAAAACUAAAACUAAAAAAUUAAAAUAAUAUAACUUAAUUUUGGGAAAAUUGCAUCAAUAUAAACAUGAUACAUAGGAUCAGCAUGCCAGAGCCUAG